rnacentral:rRNA from 1 species
AGGGCGUAUGGUGGAUGCCUUGGCAGACAGGACCGAUGAAGGACGUUUGAGGCUGCGAUAUGCCUCGGGGAGCCGCCAACAGGGCUUUGAUCCGAGGAUUUCCGAAUGGGGGAACCCACCGACCGUCAUGGGUCGGUACCGGCUUCGGCCGGGGGGUACGCAGGGAAGUGAAACAUCUCAGUACCUGCAGGAAAGGAUAUUCCGUGAGUAGUGGCGAGCGAAAGCGGAUGAUGGCCAAACCUUGCGCGUGUGAUACCCGUCGGGGGUUGCGCGCGGGGUGUUGCGGGAUCGCGUGCGCCGGCUCCGACGGGCCGGCCGGCAGUUGCAGAAAACCAUGUGUCAGGGGAACCGGGUUGAAUACCGGGCCGCAGAGGGUGAGGGCCCCGUACCUGAACGCGCAUGGUCUGCCGAUCGCGUCUCCCAAGUAGCACGGGUCCCGUGGAACCCCGUGCGAAUCCGCCCAGACCGUUGGGUAAGCCUGAAUAUUCCUGUCUGACCGAUAGCGAACGAGUACCGUGAGGGAAAGGUGAAAAGUACCCCGGGAGGGGAGUGAAACAGUCUCUGAAACCGUGCGCCUACAAUCCGUCGGAGCCCUUUUGUGGGGUGACGGCGUGCCUAUCGAAAAAUGAGUCUGCGAGUCAGUGGCAUGUGGCGAGCAUAACCCGUGUGGGGUAUGCGUAGCGAAGGCGAGUCUUAAAAGGCGUUUGAGUCGCGUGUCCUGGACCCGAAGCGGGAUGAUCUAGCCCUGAGCAGGUUGAAGCGCGGGUAAGACCGCGUGGAGGACCGAACCCACCUGGGUUGAAAACCGGGGGGAUGACUUGGGGCUAGGGGUGAAAGGCCAAUCAAAUUCCGUGAUAGCUGGUUCUCUCCGAAAUGCAUUUGGGUGCAGCGUCGGGUCAUUACGUCCCGGGGGUAGAGCUACUGGAUGCUUGCGGGCCCGUAUCGGGUACCAACAGCAACCAAACUCCGAAUACCGGUGACGCGUAUCCCGGCAGUGAGUCGGCGGGGGAUAAGCUUCGUCGUCGAAAGGGAAACAGCCCAGACCGUCGUCUAAGGUCCCGAAGCGUGUGCUAAGUGGGAAAGGAUGUGGAGUCGCAUAGACAGCCAGGAGGUUGGCUCAGAAGCAGCCACCCUUGAAAGAGUGCGUAACAGCUCACUGGUCUAGUGGUUCCGCGCCGACAAUGUAGCGGGGCUCAAGCACACCACCGAAGACGCGGCAGUAUUUUGUACUGGGUAGGAGAGCGUCCCAUGAGGGGCGAAGCGGCCGUGUGAACGCGCCGUGGACUUCAUGGGAGUGAGAAUGCAGACAUGAGUAGCGAGAGACGGGUGAAGAUCCCGUCCGCUGGAUGACCAAGGGUUCCAGGGCCACGUUCAUCGUCCCUGGGUGAGUCGGGUCCUAAGGCGAGGCCGACAGGCGUAGUCGAAUGGAUGAACGGGUCGAUAUUCCCGUACCGGCUUUCAGCCGCCAAAACCGAGGCUUGGAGUACUAACCUCCGGGUCCGGGCUUACUGCUCCUUCGGGGGCGGGAUGCCCUGGCCUGUUGGGACCGAUCCUUGUAGUAGGUCAGCGCAGGAGUGACGCAGAAGGGUAGCCGGCCGCGGAGGUGGUCUUCCGUGGUCAAGCACGCAGGGCGUGGGACAGGCAAAUCCGUCCCGCAUGGGUCCGAGGUGCGAUGAUGGGGGCCUUAUGGCCCGAUAUCCGGUGAUCCCGGCUGCCGAGAAAAGCUUCGGCGUCAGGCUCAAAGCCGCCCGUACCCCAAACCGACACUGGUGGUCAGGUAGAGAAUACCAAAGCGAUCGAGCGAAUCCUGGUCAAGGAACUCGGCAAAUCACUCCCGUUCCUUCGGUUUAAGGGAGACCCCCGAUGGUGAACACACUUGCUGUGGGAGCUUUUGGGGGUGGCACAGACCAGGGGGUAGCGACUGUUUACCAAAAACACAGGUGCAUGCGAAGGCGCAAGCCGCUGUAUAUGCACUGACGCCUGCCCGGUGCCGGAAGGUUAAGAGGAGAUGUCAGGCAACGAAGCAUCGAAUUGAAGCCCCGGUAAACGGCGGCCGUAACUAUAACGGUCCUAAGGUAGCGAAAUUCCUUGUCGGGUAAGUUCCGACCUGCACGAAUGGCGUAACGACUUCCCCACUGUCUCGACCAGGAGCUCGGCGAAAUUGCAGUACGAGUAAAGAUGCUCGUUAAGCGCAGAAGGACGAAAAGACCCCGGGACCUUUACUAUACCUUGGUAUUGGCAUUCGGUGUGGAUUGUGUAGCAUAGGCGGGAGGCCGAGAGGCGCGGUCGCCAGAUCGCGCGGAGCCGUAAGGUGAAAUACCGCUCUGUUCGCAUUGGAUGUCUAACCUCGAACAGUCAUCCUGUUCAGGGACAGUGCCUGGCGGGUAGUUUAACUGGGGCGGUUGCCUCCCAAAGAGUAACGGAGGCGCCCAAAGGUCCGCUCAGCCCGGUUGGCAAUCGGGUGGCGAGUGCAAGUGCACAAGCGGGCUUGACUGCGAGGACGACGGUCCGAGCAGGGACGAAAGUCGGGACUAGUGAUCCGGUGCCGGUGUACGGACGCGGCAUCGCUCAACGGAUAAAAGGUACCCCGGGGAUAACAGGCUGAUCAUUCCCAAGAGUCCAUAUCGACGGGAUGGUUUGGCACCUCGAUGUCGGCUC